rnacentral:lncRNA from 1 species
CUUUAGAGUACGAACUCCUCUGAGCCUGAGGCUGUAAUACAGGUUUUUCUCCAACCUCUUUGAGUGACCAUUCGAUUCUCCAGUCUUCAAAUUGUGAUAGCCGUGACCCAGAGGUGUGACACUGAGCUGUAACACUUGGCUGUAGCACUGAGCUGUUCCUCUGCCACAACACCAGGGCAUCGGCACUGAGAUACAUCCUCAGCUUUUUAAAUUUUGUAUUUUGGGACAGUGUCUCAAUAUGUCACUAGUCCACUAUGUCACAGCCUCCCAGCGUGCGGGGGAUGACAGGUGUGCACCUCCAUACCUGGCUCACCUUGCUACUUUAUCCCAUAAAUAUCCCCAAACCCUGUCCUUGGGUAGGCAGGCUUGACCCUUGUGUCUCCUCUCUCCACACCUGUCUGCCCUGCACAUAAACAUUUUUUCUUCUGCAAAACCUGUUGCAGGAGUAGGCAUGGUGGGCAAAACUGGCCUCCUUUGGUAACAGCUAACAGCUAUCCUAAAAGAUGCUCACCCUCUGGCUGGGCGCGGUGCACACCUGUAAUCACAGCACUUCAGAGGCUGAGGCAGGAGCACUGCAAGCUGGGGUCUUACCUGAGUAACUUAGUGACAUAGCAAGAUCUGGUAUCAAAAGAAAAGUGGAAAAAAGGGCUGGUGUCUGAGCUCAGUGCAGAGGCCCUGGGUUCAAUCCCCAGGACAAACAAAGAAAGAUUAAGCACCCACAGUCGCAGGACCAAACAGUGCCGGACAGGAACGCACCCGUGGGGAUCAGGCCCGGGCACGAGAGAAAUCAGUGACGCGCUCCGUGAGAAUGGAGCUACUUCCGGUGGGAUAAAGUGGGCGCUGUGGUCCGGCCAUGUGGAGGAGCUUCCUCCCAAUUUUCCAGAGCCCCGCGUCCCGCCGCACCCCGGCCUCUAGGGUCCCGCGGUCCACACAGCCCGCCCAGGGCGUUCUCCGCUUGGCCGCCAGGGGGAGCCCCAGAACCGAGCCCAGGCCGGCCCCCGCGCCGGGGCCUGAGCUGGUCCCCUGGUCACCGCGGGCCCCUCCGCCAGCCCGUG